rnacentral:lncRNA from 1 species
CAGAGCUGGAGUCUCCCAGCUGCCAGCCGACCCCGAACCCGCACUCCCGCCAACCGCGCUUUUUGUGGGCGGUCGGAAACCACAGCCUCCGUUGGAUAUGUUCGGUGCAUGUUAUAAACAACCACUUAAACCCUCCGGAUCUGAGCCUCCCGCAGAGGAAUGCAGAAUGACGCCACGGCACGCAGGAUGUGAUGUCACCGAGAUGCAGAGGAUACUCAGUCAACCAACAUUUACUGAGCAUCUACUUCGUGCCAUUGACUCUUUUCGCCGACACCUUGUAUUUCGUCUGGCAACCUUACUCACCCCUCAACCAUUUGUUUGAGUUGUUUAGAGUUAUGGAUAUAGUUAAAGUACGAAGCCAAAUGUGUGGGAAUAAUAACGCCAAAUUCAAGAUAGUGGUUUCAAUGGAGCACGAAGGAGAAAAACACCAUCAGGGGUCUUGUCAACGGAAAGGGGUCCCUAUCCAGACCCCAAGAGAGCAUUCUUGGAUCUCUUGCAAGAAAGAAUUUGAGGCGAAUCCAUAGAGUAAGCAAGGCAAGUUACUUCUAUAUAGAAGGGUGCACCCUUACAGAUCAAACAAUGCUUAGUGAUGUGUGUCAGACCUCUGAGCCCAAGCAAAGCCAUCAUAUCCCCUGUGACCUGCAUGUAUACAUCCAGAUGGCCUGAAGCAAGUGAAGAAUCACAAAAGA